rnacentral:rRNA from 1 species
UACGGGGGGUGCAAGCGUUGUUCGGAAUUAUUGGGCGUAAAGAGCGUGUAGGCGGCCGAGCAAGUCAGAUGUGAAAUCCCCGGGCUUAACCCGGGAAGUGCAUUUGAAACUGCUAGGCUUGAGUAGGGGAGAGGAAAGUGGAAUUCCUGGUGUAGAGGUGAAAUUCGUAGAUAUCAGGAGGAACACCGGUGGCGAAGGCGACUUUCUGGCCCUAUACUGACGCUGAGACGCGAGAGCGUGGGUAGCAAACAGGAUUAGAUACCCUGGUAGUCCACGCCGUAAACGAUGUUCACUAGGUGUUGGGGGUAUUGACCCUCUCAGUGCCGCAGCUAACGCAUUAAGUAUUCCACCUGAGUAGUACGGUCGCAAGACUGAA